rnacentral:rRNA from 1 species
UACGGGGGGAGCAAGCGUUGUUCGGAAUCACUGGGCGUAAAGGGCGUGUAGGCGGAUAGGUAAGUGGGAUGUGAAAUGCCUCGGCUCACCCGAGGAACUGCAUUCCAAACUGCCAGUCUUGAGUACGGGAGAGGAUGAGGGAAUUCCUGGUGUAGCGGUGAAAUGCGUAGAUAUCAGGAGGAACACCGGUGGCGAAGGCGCUCAUCUGGCCCGAUACUGACGCUGAGGCGCGAAAGCUAGGGGAGCGAACGGG